rnacentral:rRNA from 1 species
ACUCCUACGGGAGGCAGCAGUGGGGAAUCUUCGGCAAUGGGCGCAAGCCUGACCGAGCCAUGCCGCGUGAGUGAUGAAGGUUUUCGGAUUGUAAACUCUUUCGUCGGGGACGAUAAUGACGGUACCCGAAGAAGAAGCCCCGGCUAACUUCGUGCCAGCAGCCGCGGUAAUACGAAGGGGGCUAGCGUUUGUUUCGGAAUUUACUGGGCGUAAAGCGCGCGUAGGCGGAUCGUUAAGUUAGAGGUGAAAUCCCAGGGCUCAACCCUGGAACUGCCUUUAAUACUGGCGGUCUAGAGAUCGAGAGAGGUAAGUGGAAUUCCGAGUGUAGAGGUGAAAUUCGUAGAUAUUCGGAGGAACACCAGUGGCGAAGGCGGCUUACUGGCUCGAUACUGACGCUGAGGCGCGAAAGCGUGGGGAGCAAACAGGAUUAGAUACCCUGGUAGGUCAGUC